GGGUUGUGAGGUUAAGCGACUAAGCGUACACGGUGGAUGCCCUGGCAGUCAGAGGCGAUGAAGGACGUGCUAAUCUGCGAUAAGCGUCGGUAAGGUGAUAUGAACCGUUAUAACCGGCGAUUUCCGAAUGGGGAAACCCAGUGUGUUUCGACACACUAUCAUUAACUGAAUCCAUAGGUUAAUGAGGCGAACCGGGGGAACUGAAACAUCUAAGUACCCCGAGGAAAAGAAAUCAACCGAGAUUCCCCCAGUAGCGGCGAGCGAACGGGGAGGAGCCCAGAGCCUGAAUCAGUGUGUGUGUUAGUGGAAGCGUCUGGAAAGGCGCGCGAUACAGGGUGACAGCCCCGUACACAAAAAUGCACAUAUUGUGAGCUCGAUGAGUAGGGCGGGACACGUGGUAUCCUGUCUGAAUAUGGGGGGACCAUCCUCCAAGGCUAAAUACUCCUGACUGACCGAUAGUGAACCAGUACCGUGAGGGAAAGGCGAAAAGAACCCCGGCGAGGGGAGUGAAAAAGAACCUGAAACCGUGUACGUACAAGCAGUGGGAGCACGCUUAGGCGUGUGACUGCGUACCUUUUGUAUAAUGGGUCAGCGACUUAUAUUCUGUAGCAAGGUUAACCGAAUAGGGGAGCCGAAGGGAAACCGAGUCUUAACUGGGCGUUAAGUUGCAGGGUAUAGACCCGAAACCCGGUGAUCUAGCCAUGGGCAGGUUGAAGGUUGGGUAACACUAACUGGAGGACCGAACCGACUAAUGUUGAAAAAUUAGCGGAUGACUUGUGGCUGGGGGUGAAAGGCCAAUCAAACCGGGAGAUAGCUGGUUCUCCCCGAAAGCUAUUUAGGUAGCGCCUCGUGAAUUCAUCUCCGGGGGUAGAGCACUGUUUCGGCAAGGGGGUCAUCCCGACUUACCAACCCGAUGCAAACUGCGAAUACCGGAGAAUGUUAUCACGGGAGACACACGGCGGGUGCUAACGUCCGUCGUGAAGAGGGAAACAACCCAGACCGCCAGCUAAGGUCCCAAAGUCAUGGUUAAGUGGGAAACGAUGUGGGAAGGCCCAGACAGCCAGGAUGUUGGCUUAGAAGCAGCCAUCAUUUAAAGAAAGCGUAAUAGCUCACUGGUCGAGUCGGCCUGCGCGGAAGAUGUAACGGGGCUAAACCAUGCACCGAAGCUGCGGCAGCGACGCUGAUGCGUUGUUGGGUAGGGGAGCGUUCUGUAAGCCUGCGAAGGUGUGCUGUGAGGCAUGCUGGAGGUAUCAGAAGUGCGAAUGCUGACAUAAGUAACGAUAAAGCGGGUGAAAAGCCCGCUCGCCGGAAGACCAAGGGUUCCUGUCCAACGUUAAUCGGGGCAGGGUGAGUCGACCCCUAAGGCGAGGCCGAAAGGCGUAGUCGAUGGGAAACAGGUUAAUAUUCCUGUACUUGGUGUUACUGCGAAGGGGGGACGGAGAAGGCUAUGUUGGCCGGGCGACGGUUGUCCCGGUUUAAGCGUGUAGGCUGGUUUUCCAGGCAAAUCCGGAAAAUCAAGGCUGAGGCGUGAUGACGAGGCACUACGGUGCUGAAGCAACAAAUGCCCUGCUUCCAGGAAAAGCCUCUAAGCAUCAGGUAACAUCAAAUCGUACCCCAAACCGACACAGGUGGUCAGGUAGAGAAUACCAAGGCGCUUGAGAGAACUCGGGUGAAGGAACUAGGCAAAAUGGUGCCGUAACUUCGGGAGAAGGCACGCUGAUAUGUAGGUGAAGCGACUUGCUCGUGGAGCUGAAAUCAGUCGAAGAUACCAGCUGGCUGCAACUGUUUAUUAAAAACACAGCACUGUGCAAACACGAAAGUGGACGUAUACGGUGUGACGCCUGCCCGGUGCCGGAAGGUUAAUUGAUGGGGUUAGCGCAAGCGAAGCUCUUGAUCGAAGCCCCGGUAAACGGCGGCCGUAACUAUAACGGUCCUAAGGUAGCGAAAUUCCUUGUCGGGUAAGUUCCGACCUGCACGAAUGGCGUAAUGAUGGCCAGGCUGUCUCCACCCGAGACUCAGUGAAAUUGAACUCGCUGUGAAGAUGCAGUGUACCCGCGGCAAGACGGAAAGACCCCGUGAACCUUUACUAUAGCUUGACACUGAACAUUGAGCCUUGAUGUGUAGGAUAGGUGGGAGGCUUUGAAGUGUGGACGCCAGUCUGCAUGGAGCCGACCUUGAAAUACCACCCUUUAAUGUUUGAUGUUCUAACGUUGACCCGUAAUCCGGGUUGCGGACAGUGUCUGGUGGGUAGUUUGACUGGGGCGGUCUCCUCCUAAAGAGUAACGGAGGAGCACGAAGGUUGGCUAAUCCUGGUCGGACAUCAGGAGGUUAGUGCAAUGGCAUAAGCCAGCUUGACUGCGAGCGUGACGGCGCGAGCAGGUGCGAAAGCAGGUCAUAGUGAUCCGGUGGUUCUGAAUGGAAGGGCCAUCGCUCAACGGAUAAAAGGUACUCCGGGGAUAACAGGCUGAUACCGCCCAAGAGUUCAUAUCGACGGCGGUGUUUGGCACCUCGAUGUCGGCUCAUCACAUCCUGGGGCUGAAGUAGGUCCCAAGGGUAUGGCUGUUCGCCAUUUAAAGUGGUACGCGAGCUGGGUUUAGAACGUCGUGAGACAGUUCGGUCCCUAUCUGCCGUGGGCGCUGGAGAACUGAGGGGGGCUGCUCCUAGUACGAGAGGACCGGAGUGGACGCAUCACUGGUGUUCGGGUUGUCAUGCCAAUGGCACUGCCCGGUAGCUAAAUGCGGAAGAGAUAAGUGCUGAAAGCAUCUAAGCACGAAACUUGCCCCGAGAUGAGUUCUCCCUGACUCCUUGAGAGUCCUGAAGGAACGUUGAAGACGACGACGUUGAUAGGCCGGGUGUGUAAGCGCAGCGAUGCGUUGAGCUAACCGGUACUAAUGAACCGUGAGGCUUAACCUUACAACGCCGAAGGUGUUU
rnacentral:rRNA from 1 species